CUGAACCAGCCAAGUAGCGUGAAGGAUGACUGCCCUAUGGGUUGUAAACUUCUUUUAUAAAGGAAUAAAGUCGGGUAUGGAUACCCGUUUGCAUGUACUUUAUGAAUAAGGAUCGGCUAACUCCGUGCCAGCAGCCGCGGUAAUACGGAGGAUCCGAGCGUUAUCCGGACUUAUUGGGUUUAAAGGGAGCGUAGAUGGAUGUUUAAGUCAGUUGUGAAAGUUUGCGG
rnacentral:rRNA from 1 species